UUUGAGAAGGAGUCUUAUUUUGUUGCCCAGGCUGGAGUGCAGUGGUGCAUUCCCGGCUCACGGCAACCUCUGCUUCCUGGGUUCAAGCCAUUCUCCUGCCUCAGCCUCCCGAGUAGCUGGGAUUACAGGUGCCUGCCACCACACCUGGCUAACUUUUUGAAUUUUAGUAGAGAUGGGGUUUCACCAUGUUGGCCAGGCUGGUCUUAAACUCCUAACCUCAAGUGAUCCACCGGCCUCAGCCUCCCAAAGUGCAGAGAUUACAGAUGUGAGCCACCGCGCCCGGAAACAGUCUUUUAUAGAGUAAGCAUUCAACCGAUGUUAGAUUGCUGAUUCUUACUCUUUCCUCUCACUCUUAUUGGGCGAAUUAUGCAAGAUUUUGCAAACUUUUAAAUAAUGGAAAGGUCUAACGGAGGUAGGGUCAUCUACACUUGAAUAACUGUCAUUUUAGUGUAUUCAAGUGCUAUUAAAGAAUAAAAAGCCCACUAUUGUGAAAUUAGGCAAAUAUAUUUAGAUGUAUUUACAAAUUUGGAGCUCCACCAAGUUAACGUAGUAAAAUUUCAUUAUCAAUAAUGCAUAUGUGUGUGUGUGUGUGUGUGUGUGUGUGUGUGUGUGUGUGUUAACCAUCCAUGUGACAUAGUAGAUGUCACAAUAAACUCUUCCCAAUAUAAGGCAUGGGUGUUUUCCAAAUGUAAUCAUAGAAAAUGUAGUGUGAUAUCACUAUUUUUAAAGAUUUGUCACUAGAGUCAAUAGGUGUAAUACACGUUCACCUUUAUGUUUUCUUAGAGAAUUCAUUAAGACUUUUCCAUUAAUUCAUUCAACCGACACAUUUUUAAGAAAUCAUUUUCUUUGGGGCAGUUUCUGCCGUCUGCUCCAGAACAGAGAGAAAUAAACGUAGAGUGGUGUUUGGAGCUCUAGGCUGACAUUGCCUUGUCUAGAACUCAGCUCAUCAUUUCCUUUGCGAAGUUAGACAAGCAGUGUCCGCCUCAGAUACAUCCCCUGCUUGUACUGAGAAAAUGCACAGUGGUGAGAGCUAUUUUUUAGUUUUAAUUUUAUUUCAUUUUUAAUGACAAAUAAUAAUUUUGUGUACUUAUGGAGUAUAAUGUAAUGUUUCAAUACAUAUGUAUAUUGUGGAACAAUCAAAUCAGGCUAAUUAGCAUACCUGGCACUCCAAAUGCUUAUCAUUUAUUUGUAGCAAGAACAUUUAAAGGCUCUGUUUUAGCAUUGUUGAAAAAUAUAUUAAUGAGAGCUAGUUUAACAGAAAAAAAAAUACUAUUAAACUUAGUGGUAUACUUGUAAUCCUAGAGAAAAAAUGGAAAGUGCUCUGGGAUUGGAGUGGGAUUCACACCCAUAAAGUGUGUUGCUUAAUUUUUCCUCAGUUUUCAGGGUUCGUUUUCUAAGAAGAGAAUAAGGAAAAAUAGUGUAGACAACUGUAAAUUGUAAAAAUGCAAAUGUAUAAGGAAAACCAAACUGUGCAACAUAUUUAAAUUUAAAUAUAAGAUAUACUUAAUGUCAAAAAUUGAAUGUAAUGCUUCUAGAUUGUUAUUUUUUACAUGUGAAAUAAAAGUAGUUGAACCUUAUUGAGAAAUUGUAGAUAAUAUUAGUGUAGAAUCACUUAAUAAAUAGCUGGUGCUGAGUUUUAAACAUGUUCCAGUAUUAUGUUUUCAGUUUAUAAAAAAAAAAAUCAAAGAAAUAACUUUUAAAAACAAAUUUCCAGGUCUCAAGGUCAACUUACUAAAUUAGAUUUCUAAAAUGAGAGUCCCGGGAAUUAAUAUUUUUAUAAAUACUUAUUCAGUUUCUGUAAGUUUGUAAAAGGAAAUCUAACAAAACAAAAUGCAGCUUUCAAAAUUACUGUAAUUAAUGAUCAAGAGUAGCUUCGUGUGGGUGAGGCAAAAGGGAUUCUGCCAUUCUAAUUCCAUCUAUGUGGUGUUCCAGUGGCUCAUGUAGACAGCAGUACUUUAACUGAAAAUGCCCAAGUCUGAUCCACCUUAAGUCAUUUGUUGGCAGCGUCACUGCAGUAGCCCUACAUUAAAGAUUCAAAUAUGGGCACCUGGGAAGAGAGAAGAACAUGAAAGUGAGCA
rnacentral:lncRNA from 10 species